ACUUUCCAGAGAUGGAUUGGUGCCUUCGGGAACUGUGAGACAGGUGCUGCAUGGCUGUCGUCAGCUCGUGUUGUGAAAUGUUGGGUUAAGUCCCGCAACGAGCGCAACCCUUAUCCUUUGUUGCCAGCGGUCCGGCCGGGAACUCAAAGGAGACUGCCAGUGAUAAACUGGAGGAAGGUGGGGAUGACGUCAAGUCAUCAUGGCCCUUACGACCAGGGCUACACACGUGCUACAAUGGCGCAUACAAAGAGAAGCGACCUCGCGAGAGCAAGCGGACCUCAUAAAGUGCGUCGUAGUCCGGAUUGGAGUCUGCAACUCGACUCCAUGAAGUCGGAAUCGCUAGUAAUCGUAGAUCAGAAUGCUACGGUGAAUACGUUCCCGGGCCUUGUACACACCG
rnacentral:rRNA from 1 species